UCUCGCCGGUGCUACCCGCCCUGGGAUAGGGGAGGGGCCUGUGCGCGCGUGCGCGUGUGGCGGGACUCGGCUGGAGACCGCCCGCACUGAAAAGCGCUGCGCGCGCCUAGAUGUGCGCAUGGAGGCCACGUGUGUGCGCGCCUCUGUGUGUACACCAAGGGCCAACUGUAUGCACGUCUGUGUGCAUGCGCAGGGAAUAGAGGGCCACGUGUCUGCCUCUGUGUGUGUGUGUGUGUGUGUGUGUGUGUGUGUGUGUGUGUGUGUGUGUGUGUGUGUGUGUGUGUGCGCGCGCGCGCGUGCGUGCUUGUGAGAGCGUGCCAACAGAGAAAGAUCUGUGGUGUGUGCCCUAGCUGCAUGUACACGUAGAAGGGCCACAUGUGGGCACACGUGUAUAUGCAGAUAGUAUAGCUGUAUACAUGUAUGUAUGCAUGGAGUAUGAGUCGUGUGUGCACGCCUGAACAUAUAUACAGGAAACCCUCUGUGCAUACAUAUAUGUAUACAUAUAUGUCUGUCUGCGCACAGAAAACAUGCGUGUGUAUGUGUGUGUGUGUAUACAAACAGAAGGGCCAGCUAUGUGCACAUGAGGAAAAAGAAGUGAGUUGUGGGAGUGCCUUAAAGUAUCUGUAUGUGCACCCCAGGGCGAGGAGUCUUGUAUAUUUACACAGAAUAAAGUGAAGACUGUUGGGAUGCAUACACAUACUGGACACUGCAGACACAUGGGGAUCCCUGCUACUGCUCAACUAUUGACCUCCACAGCCACAUGGCCUGAACUUGGGUUGUCAAUGAUUCAGGGCAGGAAGCAGCCUGAAAGACAGCUUGUUUGCUCCUUUCACUUCAGAAUCCAUCCACUUCGUCCCAGGAGGGGUCUGGUAGACCCUGAGCCCUGAAGACUCAGUCCAUCUUGGAGACCACUCCUUUAGGACUAAAGUUGGAGAGCCUGGGCAGAGAAUACGCCAGGCCCCCCAAAUCAGUCCAAAUGGUUCAGACAGAAUGGCCCUACUUUCCCCGAGAAUGUGCAACUGAAGAGCAGAGUGCGGUUAAGAGAACUGUUCAUGCCAGUGAUGGAUGUUGGUCUGCCUGGGUCCCAGGACUCAGUCCCACAGCCCUUCUUUAGCAUCCGACUGGACUGUCAUGGCUGCUGUCCUGUUGCGAACACUCUUUCGAUGCUCUAAGGAAGCUGCUCCUUGCUAAGCAGAACCGUGAUUCCAGAGGCAACAUCCAAGACAUGACUAUUUCAACAGCUUGCACCAGACUUUGUGCCAGCCAUCACAAGCCUUGGUAGACUGGUAAUAUGAAGAAAUGACAAAGGCAUCCGCAGAGCAGUGACAGCCGCAAGGGGGACUCUGAAAAGUUCCAGAGCGAGUUCUGGGGCAAGACGCAGCAGAAACCGGAAGACCUCACCAGAAGGUGAAGAGCCAAGAUGUAGAAGGCCAUGAUGAGGCAGAGAAGAGAAACGGGGGUACCAGUCGUUGGAAGAGUUCCAGGGAGUUGCCAAGCCUUAAGGGGUAACAGUCUUACUCUAGGCUUGAAAGCUCCAACAAUAAUCAGUUCCCAGCACGCAGCACCCAUGCAGAGCUGCAGCACUAGCAGACACUACCCAUGGCUGCUGAUGGAAGCUAAGGAUUUUGGUAGCUGCCAAGUGUCGUGGCAGCUGGUAGUUAAAGCCCAGAGUAAUCUAAGCCUCCAACUUCGGUAGCUCGAGCCAUAAGCUUGCUUCUAGAGCCUGGAGCAAUAGGCCCUUGGCUCUCAGGGAACAGAGUUGUAAGCCUCUGGAUCUGCCAGUCAUCCCAUAAACGUCGGGCAUGUAAGGGCUGGGAUUACUAGCACUAGGGAAUCGUCUCCUUGCCUGAUCAUGUGUAUCUGGGUAAAGCAGAAUGACCCAGCCAGCUGAUUAGUAAUAUAGAGGUCAGAGCUGUACCAAGUGCUGGGCUAAUUAACAUCUAUGAAGAGCUUUGAGGAGCACAGACCAAAGGCCUCCCUCAGAAAUAUGCAACAUAUUAUUACUGGACACCCCUAUUUUGCAUGGCUUUACAAUUAACCACCUUUAUGCUGACUACACCUGCUCCUGCCACUUUGGCUAAGCCCCACCUCCUUAAGCUGUCAAGCAUUUAAUUAACAUUGGUUCUGUGUGCCAGGAUUGAAAUCAUGCAUGGAAGCUUUCAGAUAGCCAGGAGUCCUCCGAUUCUCUAGAUUCUCUAGUUCCCCUCCCCUCCCCCAGGUAACAGGAAAACAAAAGAAAGCCACCAUCCUGGUCUCAACCCUGGGAAGUGAGUGGCACCUGCCUCCCAUGUGUAUUUAACAGGGGCGGAUUUCUUAACUCUGCCAAGUAACUUUACAUGACAACCGCCUUCACUGUGGAUUGUUUCGGAGAGCCAUUAACUCAGUUCGCUGCAGGCUGCAGAGGGUCCUCAUCGCAUUCUGGGAGCCAAAUUGACAGGAGUCGGAAACCAGUGCUGACCAGGCUGAACAGUGGAGCCAGAGAAUGCAUAGAAUGGGUGGUUUGGGGGAAGCGUCACAGCGGAUCGGUUUCCCGAGUUUUGCUUAUAAUUUGUGACAGACAGACCUGUUUCUUGGGUGAUGAGUAGCCAGGAAGCACUACAAUAAAUGGACUUCCAAUAAGACGUACUCUCCAAUAUGCACCUUAGUUCCUGCCGUCUUCACUGAGACAGAAAUACCCGAGAGAAUUCACUUC